rnacentral:rRNA from 1 species
CAAUAGCGUAUAUUAAAGUUGUUGCAGUUAAAAAGCUCGUAGUUGGAUUUCUGAUCGAGACAUCAGGUCGGGUCCGAGAGGAUCAUGUACUUUGAUUUUGUUUUGAUCAUCCAUGGGGAGAGCAUUUCUGGCAUUCAGUUGUCGGGAUUGGGAUCCUCAUCGUUUACUGUGAAAAAAUUAGAGUGUUCAAAGCAGGCCUCGGCCUCUGAAUACAUUAGCAUGGAAUAAUAAGAUAGGACUUUGGUGGUCUAUUUUGUUGGUUUGCACGCCAAAGUAAUGAUUAAUAGGGAUAGUUGGGGGUAUUCGUAUUCAAUUGUCAGAGGUGAAAUUCUUGGAUUUAUGGAAGACGAACUACUGCGAAAGCAUUUACCAAGGAUGUUUUCAUUAA